AGCUCCAAUAGCGUAUAUUAAUGUUGUUGCAGUUAAAAAGCUCGUAGUUGGAUUCCUGACCUGGGGUAGCCGGUCCGCCUUGCAAAAGGUGCGCACUGAGCGGCCUCGGUCAUCCUUGAGAAGAGCGGUCCUGGCAUUCAGUUGUCGGGGUCGGGAUUCUCGACGUUUACUGUGAAAAAUCAGAGUGUUCAACGCAGGCUUACGCCUUGAAUACAUUAGCAUGGAAUAAUGAGAUAGGACCUUGGCGGUCUAUUUUGUUGGUUUGCACGCCGAGGUAAUGAUUAAAAGGGACGGUUGGGGUUCUUCGUAUUCAAUUGUCAGAGGUGAAAUUCUUGGAUUUAUGGAAGACGAACUGCUGCGAAAGCGUCGAACAAGGACGUUCUCA
rnacentral:rRNA from 1 species